rnacentral:snRNA from 1 species
AUAGCUUGUCAGCCUUUUGGCUAAGAUCAAGUGUAGUAUCUGUUCUUAUCAGUUAAAUAUCUGAUACAACCUCUAUCCAAAAUUUC